rnacentral:rRNA from 1 species
GGUUGCGAUCAUACCAGCACUAAUGCACCGGAUCCCAUCAGAACUCCGCAGUUAAGCGUGCAUGGGCGAGAGUAGUACUAGGAUGGGUGACCCCCUGGGAAGUCCUCGUGUUGCAACCC